rnacentral:rRNA from 1 species
UAACACGUAUCCAACCUGCCGAUAACUCGGGGAAAGCCUUUCGAAAGAAAGAUUAAUACCCGAUGGCAUAAUAGAACCGCAUGGUUUGAUUAUUAAAGAAUUUCGGUUAUCGAUGGGGAUGCGUUCCAUUAGGCAGUUGGUGGGGUAACGGCCCACCAAACCUUCGAUGGAUAGGGGUUCUGAGAGGAAGGUCCCCCACAUUGGAACUGAGACACGGUCCAAACUCCUACGGGAGGCAGCAGUGAGGAAUAUUGGUCAAUGGACGAGAGUCUGAACCAGCCAAGUAGCGUGAAGGAUGACUGCCCUAUGGGUUGUAAACUUCUUUUAUAUGGGAAUAAAGUGGUCCACGUGUGGAUUUUUGUAUGUACCAUAUGAAUAAGGAUCGGCUAACUCCGUGCCAGCAGCCGCGGUAAUACGGAGGAUCCGAGCGUUAUCCGGAUUUAUUGGGUUUAAAGGGAGCGUAGGUGGACAGUUAAGUCAGUUGUGAAAGUUUGCGGCUCAACCGUAAAAUUGCAGUUGAUACUGGCUGUCAUGAGUACAGUAGAGGUGGGCGGAAUUCGUGGUGUAGCGGUGAAAUGCUUAGAUAUCACGAAGAACUCCGAUUGCGAAGGCAGCUCACUGGACUGCAACUGACACUGAUGCUCGAAAGUGUGGGUAUCAAACAGGAUUAGAUACCCUGGUAGUCCACACAGUAAACGAUGAAUACUCGCUGU